UACAGAGGUCCCAAGCGUUGUUCGGAUUCAUUGGGCGUAAAGGGUGCGUAGGCGGUCUGCUAAGUUUGAUGUGAAAUCCCGGGGCUCAACCCUGGAAUGGCAUUGAAUACUGGUGGACUAGAGUACUGGAGAGGAAACUGGAAUUUACGGUGUAGCAGUGAAAUGCGUAGAGAUCGUAAGGAAGACCAGUGGCGAAGGCGAGUUUCUGGACAGUAACUGACGCUGAGGCACGAAGGCCAGGGGAGCAAACGGG
rnacentral:rRNA from 1 species